GAUGAAGAACGUAGCGAAAUGCGAUACUUGGUGUGAAUUGCAGAAUCCCGUGAACCAUCGAGUCUUUGAACGCAAGUUGCGCCCGAAGCCAUUAGGCCGAGGGCACGCCUGCCUGGGCGUCACACGUCGUUGCCCCCCCAUCUACUCCUUCGGGAUUGCGGGGGGCGGAUGAUGGCCUCUCGUGCGCCUCGUCGCGCGGUUGGCCUAAAUGCCAAGUCCUCGGCGACGCACGCCACGACAAUCGGUGGUUGCGAAACCUCGGUUGCCUCUCGUGUGCGGUCGUCGCGCAUCGAGGGCUCGAAAAAAUUGCCGGGCUUCGGCUCGACUUUCAACGCGACCCCAGGUCAGGCGGGGUUACCCGCUGAAUUUAAGCAUAUCAAUAAGCGGAGGA
rnacentral:misc_RNA from 1 species